GGGGCUGCUUUGGUUUCGACGGGUAUAUUUCGUAUAAGAUGGCAAGUGGGAGGUACACCUUACGUACAAAAAACAAUAAAUGCUGAAAAAGUAAAAAAUGCGAUAGCAUCUUUAUUCUCAACUAGAAAUCAAGUUGCUUUUGCCUAAGAAUGGCUCGCAGCUCUCUUCUACUCUUUUCUCAUUAGAGUUUUAGAGGGUUCAUAUCAAUGAGAUAUAUCAUAAUGAUGUCUAUAAGUUAUGAUGAAUUUCUAUAGGCUUGCUAUAAGACUGGUUUGUUAUUGUCUUUAUCUUAUAGGACUAGGAAACAAUAACUAAACUUGUAGAGGUUUUAUAUAGAGUAUAUUCGGACAGGAGUUCAAUUCUCCUCAGCUCCACCA
rnacentral:tmRNA from 1 species